UAACUGUUGUUACCUGAUUAGUAGUUUAGUUUAUGAUAUUAAACAUUGUAGCCAUAUCUGUUUUCUGUUAGAUAUCCUGUGUGGUGAUGAAAAGUGAUGUCUUCAGUUCUGCUAUUUGUCUCGGAUCAAGUUUAUUUGCUUUCUGUUACUGAAACAAGCUCUUACUAUUUCCAGAUUCGUGAUCUCGACUUUGCCAUACAGAUUAGACAAUAGUAUGUCAAGCUGAUUGUCUCGCCAGCUUUGGCAAUGUAAAUAUGUCACACGAGCAUAGGUGUGUCUGCAAACAGAGGUGGGCACUAACCUUCAGAUCCUCUGUAUCAUCUUUAGAAGGUAGAUUGGUGAGGAGACGAGCAGACACUCAACUCAGGUGAACACACUCUGUAAUUGAGCUGAUAGCUCUCUGUAUUGCAUUCUUCUUAACAUGAUAGCUCUCUGUAUUGCAUUCUUCUUAGCAAGUAGUGAUGUAUAUAGCAACCCCAACUGGAUCUUUGAUUUAUUUUUUCAGUUAGAUCAUCCAUCUUGAGCAGAGUUGAGUCAUGUCAGUGAACUUAUGUUUCUUUGUGUAUUGAAAGACCAAGAUGCAAUGGAAAAGCUCAAAGGAACCACUAAUUGUUGGAUCAGCAAACCACUCUGCUUAAUGCCUUGAUUCUAAUUACUUAGCUUAUUCUCCGCUGGUUUCUUGGAAGCUGCUGCUUUUGGGUAGGAGAUGCACCUGCCAGAAUUAGUUUGAGUUCAGUUUAGUAGUGUUUUUGGAUGCUAGCUAGGGAUUUAAGCAACAGUAGUAAUGCUUGUGCUAUUACCUCUGUUAGGAUCUGCAGAUGUUAUGGUGUUAUCUAUGUGCAGAAAGUGUUUAUAGGA